rnacentral:rRNA from 1 species
GCUCCUCUUUCGACAGGUGCGAAGCGCAAGUGACGGUACCUGUAGAAGAAGCACCGGCCAACUACGUGCCAGCAGCCGCGGUAAUACGUAGGGUGCGAGCGUUGUCCGGAAUUACUGGGCGUAAAGAGCUUGUAGGCGGUUUGUCGCGUCGUCCGUGAAAACUUGGGGCUCAACCCCAAGCUUGCGGGCGAUACGGGCAGACUUGAGUACUGCAGGGGAGACUGGAAUUCCUGGUGUAGCGGUGAAAUGCGCAGAUAUCAGGAGGAACACCGGUGGCGAAGGCGGGUCUCUGGGCAGUAACUGACGCUGAGAAGCGAAAGCGUGGGUAGCGAACAGGAUUAGAUACCCUGGUAGUCCACGCCGUAAACGGUGGGCGCUAGGUGUGGGUUUCCUUCCACGGGAUCCGUGCCGUAGCUAACGCAUUAAGCGCCCCGCCUGGGGAGUACGGCCGCAAGGCUAAAACUCAAAGGAAUUGACGGGGGCCCGCACAAGCGGCGGAGCAUGUGGAUUAAUUCGAUGCAACGCGAAGAACCUUACCUGGGUUUGACAUACACCGGAAACCUGCAGAGAUGUAGGCCCCCUUGUGGUCGGUGUACAGGUGGUGCAUGGCUGUCGUCAGCUCGUGUCGUGAGAUGUUGGGUUAAGUCCCGCAACGAGCGCAACCCUUGUCCUGUGUUGCCAGCGCGUUAUGGCGGGGACUCGCAGGAGACUGCCGGGGUCAACUCGGAGGAAGGUGGGGACGACGUCAAGUCAUCAUGCCCCUUAUGUCCAGGGCUUCACACAUGCUACAAUGGCCGGUACAGAGGGCUGCGAUACCGUGAGGUGGAGCGAAUCCCUUAAAGCCGGUCUCAGUUCGGAUCGGGGUCUGCAACUCGACCCCGUGAAGUUGGAGUCGCUAGUAAUCGCAGAU